GGGAGACACACAAAAUGUGCAGUGCUGGGGGGCGCCCAGGACCAGGGUUGAGAAACACUGCUUUACACAAAUACUACGUUUUACAGUAAACUCCAUAAAGCACCAAAGUAGUAAAAUACUGUUAAUAAACUUCCACUAAAUAGGUUCGACAGUCAGCAAACAUAAUAACAUUAGUAACAUCUCCCACAGUCAGAAUCUAUGUCAGUUUAGUGUUGGAUGGAUGUUUUUUUUUUUUAACCAAAAAAAAAAAACAAACAAAACACA